UAUAUACUCCCUCCGUCCCGAAUUACUCGUCGCAGAAAUGAAUGUAUCUAGACGUAUUUUUAGCUCUAGAUACAUCCAUUUCUAUCCAUUUUUGUGACAAGCAAUUUGGGACGGAGGGAGUAUAAU
rfam:Triticum aestivum genome assembly, contig: Triticum_aestivum_CS42_TGACv1_scaffold_252106_3DL